rnacentral:tRNA from 1 species
GGCGAGAUGGUGAAAUUGGUAGACACAGCAGACUCAAAAUCUGCCGCUGAAAAGCAUACGGGUUCGAUUCCCGUUCUCGCUACCA